ACAGGCACUGGGUGAGACUGGUUUGUACUGGUUUGUACUGGGAGGGGAUUUGGGGGGAAAAUUGGGUGAAAAACGGUGAAAAAAUGGGAAAAAAAGGGUUAAAAAUGGGUUAAAUGGGAUUGGGGUUACUGGUUUGGACUGGGAGGGACUGGGAGAGGAUCGGGGGGAAACUGGGAGUUACUGGUUUGGACUGGGAGGGACUGGGAGAGGAUCGGGGGGAAAAAUGGCGGAAAAAUGGGGAUUUUGGAUACUGGUCCAUACUGGUUGAUACUGAUCCAUACUGGUUUAUACUGGUUUAUACUGGUCCAUACUGGUCCAUACCAGUCCAUACUGGUCCAUACUGGUUUAUACUGGUUUCAGGGCUGCUGGCGGCGCUGGGGCCCCAGGUGGGGGAGGGGCUGCUGGAGCUGCUGGACCGGGCGCUGGGAUUGGCCGAGGGCGACAGCGACGGGACGCGGGUCAGUUUGCAGCUGCUCUCGGCCGUCUCGGAGCUGUUGGGGGAGGGGACGGCGCCGCUGCUGCCUCGGGCACUUCCGGUCCUGCAGGGUGCGCUGCGGCCCCCGCCUCCGCCCCCCUCGGACGCUCCCCAUUGGCUGCUGAAUCUCCACGACGACGAUGAGAACGAUGACAUCACCGCCAUGGAAGAGGAUGACGUCACCGACUGGGAGCAGGCAGAAGUGGGCGGAGCUUUCCCCGGAUUGGCGGAAGCGGCGCUGGGAGCACUGGGAGAACUGGCGGAGAACUGCGGCUCCGCUCUCCUCCCAUACCUGGAUCCCCUCCUUGCUGAGAUCGGAUUAUACUGGUUCCAGCUCUGCUCUCCUCCCAUACCUGGAUCCCCUCCUUGCCGCUGUCCUGGAUCUGACCCAGUUCCCCCAGUCCGAGGUCAGAGGCGCCGCCUACGAAGCCCUUGGGAGCCUGUGCUGCUGCGGGAGGGACGCCCAAACUGGUUUGUACUGGUUUGGACUCGUUUAUACUGGGAGGGACUGGGAGGGCAACGAAAUGGAACUAGAUUUUACUGGUUUAUACGGGUUUAUACUAGGAGGGAUUGGGAUGAACUGGGAGGGCUUUAAACUGGCUUAUACUGGUCUGUACUGGUCAAACCUGGCUUAUACUGGUCCAUACCAGUCCAUACUGGCUUGUACUGGUUUAUACUGGUUUACUCUGGUUUAUACUGGUUUAUACUGGCUCAUAUUGACCUAUUCUGGUCCAUAUUGGUCCACAUUGGUCCGAACCAGUUUAUACUGGUACAUAGCAGUUUGUACUAGCUUGUACUGGUUCAUACUGGAUUAUACUGGUCCAUACUGGUCCAUACCGCUCCAUAUUGGUCCAUAUGGGUCCAUACCAGUCCAUACUGGUUUAUACCGGUGCAUACUGGUUAAUACUGGUUUAUACUAGUCCAUACGGGUCCAUACUGGUUUAUACUGGUUUAUACUGGUUUAUACUAGUACAUACCGGUCCCUAUCGGUCCAUACUGGUCCACACUGCUUUAUACUGUUCCAUACUGGUCAAUACUGGCCCAUACUGGUCCAUACCCAUCCAUACUGGUUUAUACCGGUCCAUGCUGGUUUAUACUGGUUUAUAGUAGUACAUACUGGCCCACACUGGUCCAUACCGGUCCAUACUGGUUUGUACCGGUCCAUACUGGUCCAUGCUGGUUUAUAAUGGUUUAUAGUAGUACAUACUGCCCCAUACUGGUCUAUACUGGUCCAUACUGGUUUCCCCGGGGGGGGGGGGGGGGGGGGGGGGGGGGGGGGGGGGGGGGGGGGGGGGGGGGGGGGGGGGGGGGGGGGGGGGGGGGGGGGGGGGGGGGGGGGGGGGGGGGGGGGGGGGGGGGGGGGGGGGGGGGGGGGGGGGGGGGGGGGGGGGGGGGGGGGGGGGGGGGGGGGGGGGGGGGUGGCUGCAGCCAAUGGGGGAGGCGCUGUGUGACGUCAUCGCCGGCAAGGUCAGGGCGAAUCAGCACUAAUUACUGCCGUUAAUUAAGGGGUUAAUUGCAUUUAAAUUAGCGGGGUUUAGGAAUUAAAAUGGGGGGUGGGCGUGGCUUAAUGAGAGAUGGGCAGGCGGGGCUUAAUUAUAAUUAAAAUGGGUUCAUGGGAAUUAAAAUUGUGGCUGGGCGGGGUUUAAGGGGAUAGUGGGCGUGGCUUAAACUGGGUUUAAUGGGAUUGAGUUGGUUUAAACUGGGCUUACUGGGAUGGGAGUGGCUUAAACUGGUAUAAUGGGAUGGGCGUGGUCUAAAGGGGAAUGGGCGUGGCUUAACCCGGGUUUACUGGGGUGGGCGUGGUUUAAACUGGGUUUAAUGGGAUAGAACCGGUUUAAACUGGGUUUAAGGGGUUUGGGCCAGGUUUAGUUGUGGGCGUGGCCUGACCCGCCCCUCCCCCCACAGAUCGCCUGCCUGAGAUCGCGCCGGGACGACGGCGACGAGGUGGGGGAGGGGCGGCACCAGUUCAAACCAGUUUGAUCCCAGUCCCUCCCAGUUUAUCCCAGAUCACUCCCAGUUCCCUCCAGUUUAUCCCAGUUUGAUCCCAGUUACCUCCCGGUAACCCCCAGCUCCCCCCAGACCUCCCAAGUCUCCGAACUCCGCGAAUCCGCCUCCGAUUGGCUGCUGCAGCUGGGCGCUGCCAUGGCAGGAAAUGACGUCACCCAGAACGGAAAUGACGUCACCCAGACAGGAAAUGACGCGUUUUUCCCGCCCCACCUCUUCCGCCGGAUCCUCCCCUCGCUAUUGGCCCAUCUGGCCGACCCCGCCCACCCGGGGGCGCGCUCCUGGGCGGGCGCCGUGAUUGGCCAGCUGGGCCACGCCCUCGGUCCCGGGGCCACGCCCUUUUUGCCAAAUUUGGGAAGCGCCUUCAGAUUGGCCGUCACGGACCCCGAGCCGGAAGUGAGAGCCAACGCCUUCUACGCCAUUGGUCGGAUCGGGGAGGCCGUGGGACACGCCCACCACGAGUAUCCACCAAUCACCGGGCCGGGUUCGGUAUGGCCACGCCCAUUCGGGUUAAGCCACGCCCAUAACGGCACCUUGAAUGGGUUUACGCUCGGCCCACAAGGGUGUAGCCCUGCCCACAUCUCCAUACAUGGCGUGAAGCUCCUCCCACAGAGUUUAAGCCACGCCCUUGUUUUUAAGCCUGGUUUAAGUUGCCAUAAAAGGGCAUGGGGGGCGUCCUAUUCAUUCUGGACCCCGCCCACAACCCCAUAAAAGGAUGUGAACCACGCCCAUCACUCUCAAGCCCCGCCCACAAUGCUAUUAAAUUAUUUAGACCCCGUCCAUCAACUUUAAGCCCCUCCCACAACUCCAUAAAGAAUUUGAAUCCGUCCCACCAUUUUUAAACCCCGCCCCAUUCCCAUAUAAGGAUUUAAACUCCGCCCACACCUCAAACCGGGGGGGGGGGGGGGGGGGGGGGGGGGGGGGGGGGGGGGGGGGGGGGGGGGGGGGGGGGGGGGGGGGGGGGG
rnacentral:lncRNA from 1 species